AACCUCCUGGGCUGACUAGAUAGCUCCUCAUGCCCACCCAACCGCCUGCUCGUGCGGAGCUUCUGUUUAUAUGUGGCAGUUGGGAGACUAUUAGUCAGUUUCGUGCAGACCACCAGUUAUUGACUAUCUGUUGCUGGUUUGUGUUCUGCUGACUGUUUUUUGCGGGGGUUUUAGAUUCCUUUUAGAAGAAGAUGGCUAAUACUGUGGGGUUGAUUUGGGAGGGUCUAAUGAAUCCAAUGGAUCACCUCCAAAUGAACAGUUACAGAUAAUACAGGAGUGCCCUACACACAUCUAGAGAAUGAAGUACCCUUUCCAAUGAUGUUUCUGGCUCCUGAAAAAAGGUGUGGCAUGUCACCAACCUCCUUUUGCUGAGCUGGCGCAGUCCACUACUAAGGAAUUUGGCACAGGAUGGUGUAUCAAAAAGAUACGUUGUUUCCAAUUAUACGAGGAGCCUAGCCAAAGUCUAAGCGCUCUGGCGGUCACUGAAACUGACUCAUAGACACCCAACCACUGCAUAUAAACAGAAACUCAGCACGAGCAGGCAGCUGGGUGGGCGCAAGGAGCUAUUGGUGUGGAACCCAUUAUUCUAAUGAGCCAAAGGAUCA